ACACGUAGGGGGCGAGCGUUGUUCGGAAUCAUUGGGCGUAAAGGGCGUGCAGGCGGUCCUGCAAGUCCGGCGUGAAAGACCCCGGCCCAACCGGGGGGACGCGCUGGAAACUGCCGGGCUUGAGUACAGGAGGGGAUGCCGGAAUUCCAGGUGUAGGGGUGAAAUCUGUAGAUAUCUGGAAGAACACCAAUGGCGAAGGCAGGCAUCUGGCCAUGUACUGACGCUGAGACGCGAAGGUGCGGGGAGCAAACAGGUUUAGAUACCCUGGUAGUCCGCACAGUAAACGAUGUGCACCAGGUGGCGGGGGGUCGACCCCCGGUACCGUAGCUAACGCAUUAAGUGCACCGCCUGGGGA
rnacentral:rRNA from 1 species